UCAAUUACCUGGCAGGGGAGAGAUACCAUGAUUCAGAAGGUGGUUCACCCUAGGGCGUAGGCGUAACCAUGCACUCGGGUUAUGCUGACCCAUGCGAAUUCCCAAUGUGGGAAUCUCGGACGCAUCUUUGUGGUAGUGGGGACUGCGUUCGCGCUCUCCCUG